GAGUUUGAUCUUGGCUCAGAAUGAACGUUGGCGGCGUGCUUAACACAUGCAAGUCGAGCGAGAAAGUUCUUUCGGGAAUGAGUACAGCGGCGGACGGGUGAGUAACACGUGAGAACGUGCCCUUCAGUUCGGAACAACCCAGGGAAACUUGGGCUAAUACCGGAUACGCCCUUACGGGGAAAGAUUUAUCGCUGAAGGAGCGGCCCGCGUCUGAUUAGCUUGUUGGUGAGGUAACGGCUCACCAAGGCGACGAUCAGUAGCUGGUCUGAGAGGAUGAUCAGCCUCACUGGGACUGAGACACGGCCCAGACUCCUACGGGAGGCAGCAGUGGGGAAUAUUGGACAAUGGGCGCAAGCCUGAUCCAGCCAUGCCGCGUGGAUGAUGAAGGCCCUAGGGUUGUAAAGUCCUUUCGGCGGGGAAGAUAAUGACGGUACCCGCAGAAGAAGCCCCGGCUAACUUCGUGCCAGCAGCAGCCGCA
rnacentral:rRNA from 1 species